AGCAGCCGCGGUAAUUCCAGCUCCAAUAGCGUAUAUUAAAGUUGUUGCAGUUAAAAAGCUCGUAGUUGAAUUUCGGGAUUAAUUUAUUGGUCGUGCUAUUGUACGUACUGGUAUUAUUGAUUCCUACCUUCUGACGAACCAUGAUGUCAUUAAUUUGGUGUCUUGGGGAAUCAGGACCGUUACUUUGAAAAAAUUAGAGUGUUUAAAGCAGGCUCACGCCUUGAAUACAUUAGCAUGG
rnacentral:rRNA from 1 species